rnacentral:rRNA from 1 species
CCUACGGGUGGCAGCAGUGAGGAAUAUUGCACAAUGGGGGGAACCCUGAUGCAGCGACGCCGCGUGAGUGAGGAAGUAUUUCGGUAUGUAAAGCUCUAUCAGCAAGGGAGAAAAUACCGGGACCUGAUUCAGGAGCCCCGGCUAACUACGUACCAGCAGCCGCGGUAAUACGUAGGGGGCAAGCGUUAUCCGGAUUUACUGGGUGUUAAGGGAGCGUAGACGGCAGCACAAGUCUGGAGUGAAAUGCCGGGGCUUAACCCCGGAACUGCCUUGGAAACUGGGCAGCUAGAGUGGAGGAGAGGUAAGUGGAAUGCCUAGUGUAGCGGUGAAAUGCGUAGAUAUUAGGAGGAACACCAGUGGCGAAGGCGGCUUACUGG